rnacentral:rRNA from 1 species
CCUACGGGUGGCAGCAGUGGGGAAUAUUGCACAAUGGGGGAAACCCUGAUGCAGCGACGCCGCGUGAAGGAAGAAGUAUUUCGGUAUGUAAAGUUCUAUCAGCAGGGAAGAAAAUGACGGUAACUGACUUAGAAGCCCCGGCUUACUACGUGCCCACAGCCGCGGUAAUACGUAGGGGGCCAGCGUUAUCCGGAUUUACUGGGUGUAAAGGGAGCGUAGGCGGUUUAGCAAGUCAGAAGUGAAAGCCCGGGGCUCAACUCCGGGACUGCUUUUGAAACUGUUGAACUAGAGUGCAGGAGAGGUAAGUGGAAUUCCUAGUGUAGCGGUGAAAUGCGUAGAUAUUAGGAGGAACACCAGUGGCGAAGGCGGCUUACUGGACUGUAAAUGACGCUGAGGCUCGAAAGCGUGGGGAGCAAACAGGAUUAGAUACCCGGGUAGUC